rnacentral:rRNA from 1 species
AUUGAACGCUGGCGGCAGGCCUAACACAUGCAAGUCGAACGAGUGGCGGACGGGUGAGUACUGUCUGGGAAACUGCCCGAUGGAGGGGGGUAACUACUGGAAACGGUAGCUAAUACCGCAUACCCUCGGAUGUGCCCAGAUGGGAUUAGCUAGUCGGUGGGGUAACGGCUCACCUAGGCGACGAGCCCUAGCUGGUCGGAGAGGAUGACCAGCAACACUGGAACUGAGACACGGUCCAGACUCCUACGGGAGGCAGCAGUGGGGAAGAUUGCACAAUGGGCGCAAGCCUGAGGCAGCCAUGCCGCGUGUAUGAAGAAGGCCUUCGGGUUGUAAAGUACUUUCAGCGAGGAGGCGUUACUCGCAGAAGAAGCACCGGCUAACUCCGUGCCAGCAGCCGCGGUAAUAC